UACGAAGGGUGCAAGCGUUAAUCGGAAUUACUGGGCGUAAAGCGCGCGUAGGUGGUUCAGCAAGUUGGAUGUGAAAGCCCUGGGCUCAACCUGGGAACUGCAUCCAAAACUACUGAGCUAGAGUACGGUAGAGGGUAGUGGAAUUUCCUGUGUAGCGGUGAAAUGCGUAGAUAUUGGGAGGAACACCUGUGGCGAAAGCGGCCAUCUGGGGCAUUCCUGACACUGAGGUUCGAAAGCUCGGGGAGCAAACAGGAUUAGAAACCCCUGUAGU
rnacentral:rRNA from 1 species